AUGAUAUUUGAAAGACUGGUGUCUUCUGAACGGGAACAAAGAAAAAGAGCUAUCACUAACACAGAACUUCCAGGAAUUUGUUUGCAGAGAAUUUACAUACUAUCAAGGCGCACAUUUCUUCUCCUAAAGGAAGGAGUCUCGGAGUCCCCACAUCAGCUGCUAAUGCUUCCUAUUUUGUGUUGUUUUCCAUGUACUGUGUCUAUAUCUUGUAAGUACCUCCUCCUCUAGACUUCAGGGAGAAAGGCAGUGCUUGUUUUGUCUUCCUUUGUAUCCCAAGUGUUAAGUGUAAUUCCUGACUAAUAGUAAACACUUAAUCAAUAUUUGGUGAUAUACAGACUCAUUUAUUGGACCCUAUUACACAGGUACAAUGCAAAAAAGGAAGAGAGAAAUUCCUAUCUUCAAGGAGUGUAGAACAUACUGAAGGUAGGCAGCAUUUGUAAAAAUCAAGCAGGGCAUUUAAAAAAUCAGAAAUAAAGACCAAACCUAGAUAACGCUUCCA
rnacentral:lncRNA from 1 species